UAUCCUGUCAAUGUGUCCAGAUAAAAUGGCGUGGACAGUCCUUAGACUUCCAUACACUUUUUUUUGGGUCAGUAGUACAACGGCAAUGUCUAAAACUAAUUGCUAUAUGUAUGUGACUUCCAAUUAUUAUGUCUGAUAAAGGGUUUCCUACGAAAACUUGGAAGUGUAUGUUGAUAUGCAAAGCUAACUGGUUGUAGAAUGCUACUUAAAUGGAAAGAAUUCACUGUUAAAACAAGGGACAAUAGGAAAGCAACAAAAACUAUGAUCCUCACCAGCGUGACCGCAUUUAUAGGGUGGCCAUCUUGGGUUCAAGCUUAUACUACUAUAAAUGGUUUGAUCAUAUUUUAAUUGACAAUAAUUAUGUAUUAAAGAUCUUGAUCUCGAAUGCAUUGAUAGAAAUCAAGAUUUCUAAUACAUAAUUACUGUUAGGUAAAAUGAGAUCAACUCAUUUUUUAGGCAUCUAACAAAUAGGGACUCACUAGAUUCCUAGCAGUUAUCUAUAACCAUGGGGAUGAUGGAAUCCAUGAUGCAGACCUAGUUGUCUUGGAGGGAACGGUGUAUAACAAUGUUUUUUUGCUUUCCUAUUGGACAGGCGAAUCAUCUUCCUCAGUAACAUUUAUACACAUCAUAUCUUUUAUUUAGCUAGUUCCCUUUCUAUUGAGCCUUGUCAAAAAUUGAGAUCACGUUCAUGCCAGCUUCCAUAGAUAAAAUCUGAUUUUUAUAUUUUGCUUCUUGCUUAUGCCAGGCCAAGAGUGAAGAGCUAGUAGCCAAGGUGCAUAUUUUGAGUGAAGAGAAUCAGGCCCUAAAGAAUGAGAUAUAACGGCUUUCUGGAGAAUGUGAGAAACUAACGUUUGAAAAUGUGACUAUAAUGGUUUUUGCCCACAAAAGAUAACUUGAGGAGAAGGGAAGUUGACAGAGAAGUGCAAGCUAUUAUGAGAAGAGGGAGAUGACUAUGAAAAUGGGAGAAGCUCAUAUUGUUGAUGGAAUCUAAUUUCAAAGAAUCCCAAAAUCAAGGGAACUCCAAGAGCAUGACUAUUGAAGAUGUGAUAGAUGAGUGCAGACUACUUGGCAGGGCACGGGACCACGCCACCUU